rnacentral:rRNA from 1 species
UACGGGGGGGCAAGCGUUGUUCGGAAUUACUGGGCGUAAAGGGCUCGUAGGCGGCCAACUAAGUCAUACGUGAAAUCCCUCGGCUUAACCGGGGAACUGCGUCUGAUACUGGAUGGCUUGAGUUCGGGAGAGGGAUGCGGAAUUCCAGGUGUAGCGGUGAAAUGCGUAGAUAUCUGGAGGAACACCGGUGGCGAAGGCGGCAUCCUGGACCGAUACUGACCGCUGAGGAGCGAAAGCCAGGG